ACUGGCCAUUGUCGUAGGCUUUGUCCACUUUGACAAACUGAAGACGGGGACUCGACUCACCUUCGCCAGCUACAGGAGGACCUCCAGACGAGGACCGGACUCGCCGCCUUUCUUUCCCGUCAGAAAGGGAUCCCUUGCGGACAGGACCGAAGUGAGUAGCUGGUUUCCCCUACGUGUCCUUCCGGGCCUGGGUGUCUCGGGAGCUCAGGCUGACAGGAGACCUAACUACCGGCGAGUGAGACCAGCAGGAGCCUGGAGGGGCGCGCACCAGGGUGGAGGUUUGGUGCCGGGGGUUGAGAACAACAGUCAAACCCUCUUCUUCCCUGUACCGCGCACCUGCCCCCUGGGAUGCCGAACGAAGUGGCCCCUAAGGCUUCUCUGCAGGUCCAACCGAAACAGGCCUGAAGUUCCAGGAUGGGCGAGAGGAUCCUCUUUGAGCGAAACCAGCCUUCUGCCUGGCUGGCCCUGGUCAACACACUCGGAAGAGGCCGAUUUGGCGGACAGAACGGAAGAAAAGACCUAAAGUACCAUCUCCAGAAAGGCACUGUAUGAAAAGUCCCAUGUUGUUUCUGGCAGAACUGACACAUUUGUGCCUAGCAUAGUGAUGCUGUUGUCUGCAGAAGGGUCACAGCCUUCAGAGACUCUCCUGCCAGUGCUGUAUUUUGCCUGCACCCCUCCGGCUUGGCUUCUGCACUGAGACCCUCCUAACAAUAGAUGAUCCUCAUCCAAUCACUUAAAGGCCUGAAUAGAACCAAAAGUCUGACCUGCCCAUGAGUAAGAGAGAGCUCCUUCUGCCUGAUUGCUUCAGCUGAGAUAUCAGCCUUUUCCUGCCUUUGGAAUUGAACUGCAACACUGGCUCUUCCUGGGCCUCAAGCCUGCCAGCUUUUGAACUGUAACCACACCAUCAUCUCUCCUGGUUCUCAGGCCUUUGGACUCAAAUCAGAAACACACCAUGGGCUCUCCUAUGUCUCAAGCUUGCCAACUGUGAUCUUGAGACUUCUCAGCCUCCAUAAUCACAUGAGUCAAUUGUUGGUUCUGUUUCUCUGGAGAACCCUAAUCCAUCACUUUACAUAUUUCUUCCAUUACGCAUAUUGUUUCCCAGCAUAUUAAAUAAUUUAC